CGUCAAAUCAUCAUGCCCUUUAUGAUCUGGGCUACACACGUACUACAAUGGCGAGAAACAGAGGGAAGCAAGACCGCGAGGUGGAGCAAAUCCCUAAACCUCGCCUCAGUUCAGAUUGCAGGCUGCAACCCGCCUGCAUGAAGUCGGAAUUGCUAGUAAUCGCGGACCAUCAUGCCGCGGUGAAUACGUUCCCGGGCCUU
rnacentral:rRNA from 1 species